rnacentral:rRNA from 1 species
UACGGGGGGGGCAAGCGUUGUUCGGAAUUACUGGGCGUAAAGGGCUCGUAGGUGGCCAACUAAGUCCGCCGUGAAAGUCCAGGGCUCAACCCUGGAAUGCCGGUGGAAACUGUCGGGCUGGAGUCCGGAAGAGGCGAGUGGAAUUCCUGGUGUAGCGGUGAAAUGCGCAGAUAUCAGGAAGAACACCCGUGGCUAAGGCGGCUCUCUAGUACGGUACUGACGCUGAGACGCGAAAGCGUGGGGAGCGAACAGG